rnacentral:rRNA from 1 species
AGCGGAGGAAAAGAAACCAACUGGGAUUACCUUAGUAACGGCGAGUGAAGCGGUAAAAGCUCAAAUUUGAAAUCUGGUACUUUCAGUGCCCGAGUUGUAAUUUGUAGAAUUUGUCUUUGAUUAGGUCCUUGUCUAUGUUCCUUGGAACAGGACGUCAUAGAGGGUGAGAAUCCCGUUUGGCGAGGAUACCUUUUCUCUGUAAGACUUUUUCGAAGAGUCGAGUUGUUUGGGAAUGCAGCUCAAAGUGGGUGGUAAAUUCCAUCUAAAGCUAAAUAUUGGCGAGAGACCGAUAGCGAACAAGUACAGUGAUGGAAAGAUGAAAAGAACUUUGAAAAGAGAGUGAAAAAGUACGUGAAAUUGUUGAAAGGGAAGGGCAUUUGAUCAGACAUGGUGUUUUUUGCAUGCACUUGCCUCUCGUGGGCUUGGGCCUCUCAAAAAUUUCACUGGGCCAACAUCAAUUCUGGCAGUAGGAUAAAUCAUUAAGAAUGUAGCUACCUCGGUAGUGUUAUAGCUUAUUGGAAUACUGCUAGCUGGGAUUGAGGACUGCGCUUCGGCAAGGAUGUUGGCAUAAUGGUUAAAUGCCGCCCGUCUUGA